rnacentral:rRNA from 1 species
CGCUGGCGGCGUGCCUAAUACAUGCAAGUCGAACGGUCUUUCUAUGGAAGCUUGCUUCCACUGAGAAGAUAGUGGCGAACGGGUGAGUAACACGUGGGUAACCUGCCCAUAAGAGGGGGAUAACAUCCGGAAACGGGUGCUAAUACCGCAUAGUUUUCUUGAUCGCAUGAUUGAGAAAGGAAAGACGGCCUUUGUGCUGUCGCUUAUGGAUGGACCCGCGGCGUAUUAGUUAGUUGGUGAGGUAACGGCUCACCAAGACGAUGAUACGUAGCCGACCUGAGAGGGUGAUCGGCCACAUUGGGACUGAGACACGGCCCAAACUCCUACGGGAGGCAGCAGUAGGGAAUCUUCCGCAAUGGACGAAAGUCUGACGGAGCAACGCCGCGUGAGUGAAGAAAGGUUUUCGGAUCGUAAAACUCUGUUGUCAGAGAAGAACAAGUUGGAGAGUAACUGCUCCAGCCUUGACGGUAUCUGACCAGAAAGCCACGGCUAACUACGUGCCAGCCGCAGC